rnacentral:rRNA from 1 species
UACAGAGGUCUCAAGCGUUGUUCGGAUUCAUUGGGCGUAAAGGGUGCGUAGGCGGCGCGGUAAGUCGGGUGUGAAAGCCCUCAGCUCAACUGAGGAAGUGCGCCCGAAACUGCUGAGCUUGAGUACCGGAGAGGAUGGCGGAAUUCCCCAAGUAGAGGUGAAAUUCGUAGAUAUGGGGAGGAACACCGGUGGCGAAGGCGGUUCUCUGGGCAUUACCUGACGCUGAGGAGCGAAAGUGUGGGGAGCGAACAGG